AGCAUCCGUGACUGCCAGCCCAAGGAGGUGGGUAGAUCAUUGGCCUGGCACUGUCUCACCCUGACACACACCAGUGGGCACAGAAGCCUGGACUUUUCCUGUGGCUGCAGACUCAGUCCCACUUUCCUCCUGGGUACCGGCAUCUGUAGCUGCAGCUUUGCACACUCUGUUCCCUUUCCUUGAAUUGCCCUUCCCAGCCCUUCAGCGGUGUGGACACCAGCUGGUCUCCUGUACAAGACAGAGGGCCCUUCCAGGGCGGGACUUGAGGACCCAGUCAUGCCUUGGCCUUCAUCUUGCCUGGCAGCUCCUGAUUAGCUUGGGGAAUUCAGACAAGGACUGGAGUUUGCGUCAGAUGUAGGGUAGAUGAGCAGCGCAUGACCUGAGAAAGACUGAACCAGCUCAGGUGACCCUGAGGGAGUGCGGAGCUGAUGGGCUCUUCCACUAAAGAGGCUGCCAAACAGACUCAGGAGAAGCUUUGUGGGCCUGAGAGUCUGAAAUGAGACUGAAGUCAACAAAGGGUAACAGAAACUACAGGAAGCGAACCUGUAGACAAGGAGGAAUUGUUGCAGGU